rnacentral:rRNA from 1 species
UGCGUAGGCGGAAGAUUAAGUCAGUGGUGAAAUCCUGCAGCUCAACUGUAGAACUGUCAUUGAUACUGAUUUUCUUGAAUAUAGUAGAGGUAGGCGGAAUAUGUAAUGUAGCGGUGAAAUGCUUAGAUAUUACAUAGAACACCGAUUGCGAAGGCAGCUUACUAUACUGUGAUUGACGCUGAGGCACGAAAGCGUGGGGAGCGAACAGGAUUAGAUACCCUGGUAGUC